UAACCAGUAGAGAAAAUGUGUCUUACUCAAAUAUAUAUUUUAUACUUCAAGAAAUCUCUGGUGCAAGAAAUAAUAUGACCCUAAAUCAGCCAUUUUUAUAUGUGGUCAUACUUAUUCAUAUACAUUGUGUUCAACACAUUCUUUGUGAAACAUAAGGUAAAAUGUCUGUCAUUCCUUAUUAGAAGCUUUGAGCAGUAAAAUGCAAGGUAUUUCAAUCCCCCAUUGAAUAUCCCAUAAUAUUCAUGUGUCCCUCAGGGGACAGUCAAUAUCAUGGCCCAUAGACCAAUAAAUGACUCACUUCUGGGUAGAUCUAAAAAGUAAAGCCUAGCUAAGGGGUAGUCCAGGCCUGCGAACAAAUCUCUGGUUUAGUUACCAACGGAGGGUCUACUGGCCCAGGAGAUCACAGCUCGCUUGGGAGACUUCCAAAGUAAGGGGCUUGCAGGGAGGUGGAAGAGAGGAAGGCUUAGCCAGAAUUCUAUGGUGAAACUGGAACCUCAGGAAGAGGCCUACAGAGAAUGGUGGAAGCCUGAGGAUUACCACUCUAAAAUAGCCAUUCUGUAUAGAACACUAGCAGAUUCCAGGAGGCGAAGCAUGUGUCCGUAUCAAAGCAACGGCCAUUUUACAUUUCUGAGAAGGACCAGCAGCCAAGGCCAGUGUCCUGACCUUCUUAGGAGACUUGCAUUCUUGCUCCCUAUCAGAACUCCCUCCAAAAGUGCUAAGAACCAACCAACUAUAGCACAAUGGACAUAAUCUUUGGAUCUGACCAUUCUUCAGUUGUUGCAUAGUACUAAGGAGAACGUUCCUUCAGAGACAAAGAGCUUUGGUUUUUCCCCUCCCUCAUUUCUACCAGCCAAAGUUCACAUCUGCUUCAGCAUUCAAUCUGUUGCGAUGUUUCAACUGAAGGAUGUGAGGGAAAUCUGGCCUCACAGAGAUAUGUAGUUGGAAAAUGAAAGAGUAACUGUGAAUAUUCUUCUUUGAUAUCACACCAAAACUCGACAAGUACAGCUUCUUAAAGGUAAGCUGCAAUGUGGACUCUAAAG